rnacentral:lncRNA from 1 species
GAAGAAAACUUUUAGACAUACCUUAAACUUGUUGAGUCCUUAAUAUCUUCCAAGCAACUCUUCAAACAACUCAACUCAGUCUACCAUAGAAUAAGGAGAUUCAAAUUCAAUACUGAGUAAAGGCUAAGUAUGUAACUUAAGCUAGUAGCUCGUUUUAUGUAAAUUUGGGUAGCAUAUCCAUUGUAACAAGGGCCUCCUCCAAUGCCAUAUACUAACAACAAAAACCAUAGCAAUGCAAUAAGAACAACAUCAACAGUAGGGUACAAAAUAUUUCAUUAACAAGUCGUCAACAUAUCACGACGAGCGGCAACCUCGGAUUGAAUCCCUUCAUCACCCUUCAACCCCAUUAUCACUCCUUAUAGACUUCUUACAUUAACUUAACAUCAUCAUUAAAAUGAUAAUGAAUCCAUUCAUCAUUGAUUCCAUCCUUAUACUAUAUAUUUAUAACAAAGAAAACAAUUCACAACUCCAACUAUCUUCAAUUAGCAACUUUAUUCACUAGUUCAUGUCUAGUACAUCCAUUUAACUUAAUCAACAUCAAUAUAACCUUAAGUACAUGCAAGAAAACAAUAAAAAUACCUCCUAUAGUAGCUUCAAGUCGUAAUCUAAGUUAUAUUUAGCUUACAACAUCCCUCAAUGACAAUACGACACUAUAGAAGUGACUUAAGCUACUCCAAGUAUUAUCUUGUAGUUUAUCAUCCUAACAACAUAACUAGCAUAUAAGAAAGCUUAAGAACAAUAAGUAGUCUAUUAUAAUCACCUUAUCUAGUAGCAAAAACUUGAAAUUUUAGCCAAACACAUCCCACAACUAUCCUCAAUGACAACGCAACCUCAAAAAGGUGUUGUUCUUCACUAGAACUAACUUUUGAUGUUGAAAUAUGGUGUAAUCCAUUUGCAAGACUUGAAAUAAUAUAGGUUUGAUAUGAAAACCUUUGGAGAGUAUUUUAAAGAACUUAAACCACUUAAAAAACCUCCCACAUGAGCUGGAACCACCCAAAAAUCAGCAAUAAUAAGAGGAACAAGCAACUUACUAGUGCGAGGGGAUUUUCGACACUUGAUUUGUGUUGUUUGCCCUUUGUUUGGGUCUUGGUUCAUGAGAGAACCUUGAGAGAGUGUUUUUAGGUAUAUAGAGUCUGAAGAUACUCAAAAAUAAUGAGUUAAACCGGGGUUGAGGUGUCUUAUAUAUAUCAAUAUAUCUCAACCGCCAUUGUGGGUCCUAUAGAGAGUUGCUUGGCGUAGUCUCGCAAAAAUGCGAAUAUCUCUCUACUUCAAUGUCAUAUAGACAAACGGUUUAAUGAGUUAGAAACUAGACUCAUAGAUAUUCAAUUUUGUAGGUAGAUCACCCCAUAAUUUGAAGUAAAUUGAGAGAACAACACAUCUAAAUUUCAGCACAUUUAUGAAUGUAACUUUACCAACUUUUGUUUCACAACUUGCUUGACUUAAAAACAUAACACACGACUAUCAUACGAAUAAAAUAAAUCAUAACAUAACCUCCUUAUCUUGCUAAUCACCCAGUCACAUCACAAAAGUAUACGUUAUAACAUUCCCAACUUGUCGACAUUUGACGAAACUUAUUUUCUUCUAUUUGUUUAGCUUCUUAUCCUUUCAACCCUCAUGGUACUUGUUAUCCAUGAUCUUAAAGAUUUGUAAUCUCCAAGGUAACAUGAUUAACUUACUUUGUAUACUCUCAAAGAUGAUCUCAUUUUUGAGCUUACAUCAAUUGACUUACGAAUACUCUUUUGUAUGAAGGUAUAAGAUGUAACAUGAUUCCCUCCUUUGGAACAUUCGUCCUCAAAUAUUGACUGAUGUGCUUAUCAGUCUCAUAACCUAUAGCUCUUGCAAAUACUUUACUCCUGCCCUUUCCACCUAGGCAAUUGUUCAGUGAAUUAAUCCAAAGGCCAGAACAUUCCCCCCCUUUAGGAAUCUUUCUCACACCAUGACUUGCGGUUGGAAUUAUUCCAAUCUCGUAACUGUUGCUAUCUUAUGUCAUGCAGCAUGUAUGACAUUGUCCUUAUGUGCGCCUAUGUGACUCUUCUCUCAUUUUUCCUUCAGCUUGUAGCCAAUCUCUAGGCCUUACUUUGUGAACAUAUACAAAAUUAUGACAAGCUUUCUCUCUGGGAAUCUAUAGGUGUACUAAAGUUUUUUACUCAGGUACUGUCAAACUUACGACUAUUGCUAUAUCUUGUUUCAUAGCCUUGGUUAGUUAUGCUUAUGGCUUUACUAUGUAUAUGUAGUUUAUACUAUACCACAACACUUACUUUGAUUUAUUAUGGCCAAGGUCUACUAUCCAACUCCAGGUUACUCUCUCGUUGUUUAUCUUAUAUGUAUAAAUUAAGUCCCUUAAUGCUUCCUCAUUACUAUUCAUCUUAAGAAUGACAGCCUAAUCUCAUCUCACACUUUGGAACAUUCAUCCAUCCAUUAUUGAUUCACCUUAAUAUUGAUCUAUAAUCUACCGCUGAUCACUUGAAACCUCUCAUGUAAUAUAUUGUCACUAGGGCUCACAUCUCAUUUGGGAACAUCUGGAGUUAUUUGCCUAGUCCACUUAGGGUUAAUAAUAUACUUCAAUAAUUGUAUUUCAUAGCAUCCCAACGUAAUUCAUAUUAUGGGGGUAUUUUAAUCUUGUACAAUUUAUGAAAUCCCUUUUCUUUGAAUCAUUACCCAAUCAAAGGCAUAAACGUCAUCCUCUUAUCUAUCACAAUUACACCCUUAUUUUACCACUAGGGCAUCAUUCCAUCUCUUCUAAAUUCUCCUAUUCUUAAACUCCUCUGAGUACAAUCAUGUUAUACUGAGCUUUUUAUAACUUAGGAAACCAUCAGCUCUCUUGUUGUGAUGGGUUUAAUCCCGAUGACUUACCUAUUCUCGUCACCUUCUCACUAACUUUUUCUUAUCCUUACUCCUGUCUACCUAAAACUUUGUUGCUCUACCAUACUUUAGCUUGCGACCUACAUAUAUCUAUUUAUACUAGUCGCAACCUUCCUUUAAUUUGCUAGCGCCAUAGAUUUCCUUAUGUUAUUCUGGAACCUCGAGCAAAACAUCAUAUCGUCUCUAACUCUUCUGUACUCUCUUAACUAGACCUCUCUGUACCUGGAAACCAUAGGCUGGAAGAUACGCCACUGACGACAACACUAUUAUUUCUUGAUACAGAAAUACGACGCUUCCAGCCCUCUAUCUGAUAUUUGGAUUAUUCGUAGCCUUCUGUACUUGGGCAUCUCUUACCUUCUUCACUUAUACCUUACUUACCUUUAAAUCUUGCAUCAUAUCUCCUAUCUCUUUCAUAACCUCCCUUCCAUAUAGGUGGAAUUCACAUCCAUACCUUAAAGCUCUACUAUAAUACUUGCACAUCAUGUGCAUACACAAUCAGGCGAAGGCUUCAUACUAACUUCUUAUGAGGUUGUUACUGUUCUAACUAGAUUUAUCGUAGAGCCAUUAUAGAAUAUGGUUGUUGCACUAUCUCUUUUGUACCUCUGAUAUUUAGAGUGAUGCUACAAUGUUCUGAAUCAUGAUUUCUAUACUCAUCGGGAUUUAAUAAUCAGACUUCUAAUUCACUUAGCUGGUGUAACUCUUUAGUUUCCUCUUAUAUCUCAGCCUUUAAAUAGGCUUACUUUAUCUUCUGAUCUGCGGCUUGGGGUAUUAGUUAUUACUUUAUCCCCUCGUGGGUUCUAUGGAACAUCCAUGAUAUAACUUUCUAGCAAUUCAAGCUUUUGUCUGUGACGUGGACUCAAUUAUUUCUUUUAACUUAUACUGCAGUAUCCUAUGGUUGUUCAUUAUCAACAUAUAUGUUGCAUGGAUAACACUCUAAAAUCUUAAGUGUGUUUAUAACGUAACUAACUCUGGGUCAUAGAUCGAAUAAUUCCUUUCGUGCCUUCUCAGCUUUCGUUAAAAGUAGGCAAUUACUUUUCUUGGUCGUUCUGCCACUUGUUGCAUGAAUACUUGGCUUAUCUUAGUGCCCAGAUAUAUUGCAGUGAGAUGUUGUAGUGAAUAUAGGUAUAUUGCAGUAAUAUUACUUUGGAUUUUACUUCCCGUUCCUUAGUCACAAUAGGUACCACUUUCUUAUAGAGUGCAUACGAUGUUGCAGUGAGACUAUUGUUACAAGACGAUUAUUUAUUUAGGUCACUAUGAUUAGUUUGAAGCCUUCUUCCUUAUUUCUUCAUCUAGUCUUUCAUUGUAGCAUUUAAGGAAGAUUCUCUUACUCUUGUAAAGCUGUGAGCUUAUCCCAUCAUAUACCUAAUGGAAUUUUUGAUGUUCUUACUCACCUAUAAAUAUUCUUAGUUACAUACCUUCGUGCCCUUGUUCUCGUAGGGUUAUUUAUGAACUCAGAUUUUUUUGUCUCCCCCGUGGCACUCUCUUUUGUUUCUGUAACACUUUUAUGGAAACUAUUACUACCUCAACUCCUACCUAAAUAUUUCUCAAGGAUUACGAUGUUGUAUCUACGAAACUGAAUUCCCUAUGCUGGGGUUCACUAGGUUUAUCUUGCAUGAUCUACUAAUUUAUAUGUAUCCUCUUGUCUAGCCAUAACUAGGCUCUUCCUGAAUCAACUACUAACUAAUCGUUGGUCCAUUCUCAUACCUAUAUUCUGCGUAAUCUCUCUUGGGUUGUUUCCUUUGUCUUAACUUACCUCUCGCACUGGACCCUUAUGUAUCAAGUGUUCAUUCGCACUUAUUUAUCAAUAGCAUCAUGGGAGGGAACCCUUACUGCAUUUCCCAACCAUCAUGCUUGUAUAAUGUUUUGGAGUCAUAACAUAUAUGUACGAUCUGAAUAAAUACAAUCUCACCCAUUUCGUCUUUUAUCGCAUUCUUCCUUUACUAGUCUAUAGUUACUUCCUCAUCUUUGACAUCUUUUCACAUCUUCACUGACUCUUACUCGCCUUGCGGUAACCCUUCUAUACCGGGGAUAACUUAAUUUCUUAUGUGCGAGGGUGACACCUAGUAUAACUGGCACAUUUAGUCCCUUAAGCAUAACUCUGCUCACAUUGCUUGCUUUAGGGAAGCGUCUUCCUGAAUGACCUUUAAAGGUUAUUCUUCCGUUGUCCAUUCUAUCAUUUACGGAACACGAUUUCUGAAAUUCUGAUGAUACUGACUAUUAUAGAAUCCUUUGGUCCCUAAAUCAUGUUCGAUUUUCUUUCUUGUUUACUAGCCUAUGUUGAUUUCUAUUACUCCGGGGGGUCUAACUUAGCCUUCUGGUAAUUACGUUGGAGUCACCAACUCAUUUUCUCAAAAUGAGGAUAUGACUUUAUGGUUUAUACUCUUUUAUAGUCUCAAGGCAUGUCAGCUCUUGUCUUUUCCUUUACCUGACUAUAGACUAUUGUCACACCUCCUUUUGCUUACCCCCCGGAAGAGUGUAUAUAAGAGAGCUUUUCCAAUUAAAGGACAAUCGAAAUGAGAUUUAUUUAUUUAAAGAUUCAGAGUCGCCACUAGGGAGAUUUAUGGUGUCCAAAGUCACCGGUUCAAAUCCCGAAUCGAGGAAAAGGAUUGACUCUGUUUAACAGUUCGCGAACCAGAAAUCCGAGUAAGGAAUUUUGUUAACCCGGGAGAAGGUGUUAGGCACUCCCGAGUUCCGUGGUUCUAGCACGGUCGCUUUGAUUAUACUUGGCUUACUAAAUUGUCUAAUUACUUAUUUUUAAACCUAUGUGCAUCUACCCCGUUAACCGUUUUUAUUUGCUUAAUUACUAUUAAUUAUGGAAUUAUCUUUAAAAAAUGAGUCACGCGUACGUGUACUCAUUUCAUUUGGCGCGUCAAAAAUUGUGUCACACGUACAUAUCCACAAUUAAUCACGCCUUAUUAUUAAUAAGAUUGUUUCACCCAAAAUUGCGCGAACACAUACCUUGGUUUUAAUUUCUGGAAUCGUAACUAUGUCACGCGAACGUGUACACAACCACGAUAAUUUAUUAAUUAGAUUAGUGCCUAAAGCAUACUACUGUGCUCUUCAGCACAUUAGGUUAUUUAUGAGUGUUUAACCCACUUUUAGUGAUAAAACUAGCUACAUGGCAACUGCAACUUAGGAAUAUACUCAUAUGAGCCUUACAAGAAUGUGGUCAACUCUUUUAAAACUUCAAGCAUGAAAAAUCAGUACCAAUAUCAACAUUAACUUCACCUUAAUUUAACACUUAAACUAGAUAUCACUCUGCCUCAGAUCAAUCAUCGCAAGGCAUAUGUUUGCAAAGCAUAACGUAGUUACACAUACAAGCACAUUAAAGUCUACAAUUAUUCAACAGAUGAAAGUAAAAGGCAAAUUCAUAAACAACAACCUAUAUUAGUAAAAAUAGUUACUGGAGUAACGUUCAUGUGUGUAUCAAAGUUCUAAUAACUCAAUAUAAAGAAGCAAAUAGCUAACAUUUCCUCAACAAAAACCCAAUUUUUUGGUUUGCAAAACUCGAAAAAAAAUGUGUAGUAGAUAAAACUAGUCAUUUACAAAGUAACACGUACCCUUUUUCUUUUCUUGGAGGGCGUGAUAGCAGAAUUGGCUCUACUGCUUCAGUAAUUAGUCUUUUUCAGCAAAAUACGAAAACAACGAGAUUCUAGCAAGGACCACGAACGCGAUUUUGACCGGAGAACCUCGACCACAAACUCGACAAUAACCUCGACGGACCUGACACGGCGACCUGAACAGAUUCACUCGACAUGGAUUUGGGUAGCGAUUUCGAGCUGACUUUCGCACUGAUUUGGGUUAGUUUCAGGGAGUUUUGGAGCUAGGUUUACCUCUAGGUUCGAACCCGGUUCGCCGGAUUCUAUGGCAAGUCGUCGGAAUCACACAUUUCUGGUCAGAUUUGGUUUCGUCUAUAUGUGCGCCCUACUGUUUCUCGACAACAAAACGGGGAAGGUUCGUGGGUUGAUUUUUCUGGUUUUCAAUCGGGGGAGAGGAAGCAGCAAUGAUGGGUUCUUCGGCGCAGGUCUUUGGUCGUUUGGAGAAGACGAUGGGCAGGGGGGUCUCUUGUAAAGGCUGCGCUGAUUUUACUUUUUAGCUUUUUGUCCCUUUUUUGUUUUUAGCCUUCUACGUUCUUUUUUAUUUAUAUAGUCUAGGUUUUUGGUAGGGUUUUAGGUUAAGGGGUAUGAGCCU